CGCAAUGGGCGAAAGCCUGACGGAGCAACGCCGCGUGAGUGAUGAAGGUCUUCGGAUCGUAAAACUCUGUUAUUAGGGAAGAACAAAUGUGUAAGUAACUAUGCACGUCUUGACGGUACCUAAUCAGAAAGCCACGGCUAACUACGUGCCAGCAGCCGCGGUAAUACGUAGGUAGCAAGCGUUAUCCGGAAUUAUUGGGCGUAAAGCGCGCGUAGGCGGUUUUUUAAGUUUGAUGUGAAAGCCCACGGCUCAACCGUGGAGGGUCAUUGGAAACUGGAAAACUUGAGUGCAGAAGAGGAAAGUGGAAUUCCAUGUGUAGCGGUGAAAUGCGCAGAGAUAUGGAGGAACACCAGUGGCGAAGGCGACUUUCUGGUCUGUAACUGACGCUGAUGUGCGAAAGCGUGGGGAUCAAACAGGAUUAGAUACCCUGGUAGUCCACGCCGUAAACGAUGAGUGCUAAGUGUUAGGGGGUUUCCGCCCCUUAGUGCUGCAGCUAACGCAUUAAGCACUCCGCCUGGGGAGUACGACCGCAAGGUUGAAACUCAAAGGAAUUGACGGGGGCCCGCACAAG
rnacentral:rRNA from 1 species